rnacentral:rRNA from 1 species
UGGGGAAUUUUGGACAAUGGGCGCAAGCCUGAUCCAGCAAUGCCGCGUGCAGGAUGAAGGCCUUCGGGUUGUAAACUGCUUUUGUCAGGGAAGAAACGAGUUUCUCUAAUACAGAGACUUAAUGACGGUACCUGAAGAAUAAGCUCCGGCUAACUACGUGCCAGCAGCCGCGGUAAUACGUAGGGUGCGAGCGUUAAUCGGAAUUACUGGGCGUAAAGCGUGCGCAGGCGGUUAUAUAAGACAGAUGUGAAAUCCCCGGGCUCAACCUGGGAACUGCAUUUGUGACUGUAUAGCUAGAGUACGGCAGAGGGGGAUGGAAUUCCGCGUGUAGCAGUGAAAUGCGUAGAUAUGCGGAGGAACACCGAUGGCGAAGGCAAUCCCCUGGGCCUGUACUGACGCUCAUGCACGAAAGCGUGGGGAGCAAACA